UACGUAGGGAGCAAGCGUUGUCCGGAAUCAUUGGGCGUAAAGCGCGCGUAGGUGGCCCCAUAAGUCCGCUGUGAAAGUCAAAGGCUCAACCUUUGAAAGCCGGUGGAUACUGUGGGACUAGAGUACGGAAGAGGCGAGUGGAAUUCCUGGUGUAGCGGUGGAAUGCGCAGAUAUCAGGAGGAACACCAAUAGCGAAGGCAGCUCGCUGGGACGUUACUGACACUGAGGCGCGAAAGCGUGGGGAGCG
rnacentral:rRNA from 1 species